rnacentral:rRNA from 1 species
AUUGCACAAUGGGCGCAAGCCUGAUGCAGCAACGCCGCGUGCGGGAUGACGGCCUUCGGGUUGUAAACCGCUUUUAGUAGGGAAGAAGGGCUUCGGCUUGACGGUACCUGCAGAAAAAGGACCGGCUAACUACGUGCCAGCAGCCGCGGUAAUACGUAGGGUCCGAGCGUUGUCCGGAAUUAUUGGGCGUAAAGAGCUCGUAGGCGGUUUGUCGCGUCUGCUGUGAAAACUAGAGGCUCAACCUCUAGCCUGCAGUGGGUACGGGCAGACUUGAGUGCGGUAGGGGAGAAUGGAAUUCCUGGUGUAGCGGUGGAAUGCGCAGAUAUCAGGAGGAACACCGAUGGCGAAGGCAGUUCUCUGGGCCGUAACUGACGCUGAGGAGCGAAAGCGUGGGGAGCGAACAG